rnacentral:misc_RNA from 1 species
AACGCACAUUGCGCCCGCCAGUAUUCUGGCGGGCAUGCCUGUUCGAGCGUCAUUUCAACCCUCGAGCCCCCGGGCUUGGUGUUGGGGAUCGGCCGCAGCCUAGCGCUGGCCGUCCCCCAAAUUCAGUGGCGGUCACGCCGCAGCAUCCCCUGCGUAGUAGCACAACCUCGCACCGGAACGCAGCGCGACCACGCCGUAAAACCCCCAACUUCUGAAGUUUGACCUCGGAUCAGGUAGGAAUACCCGCUGAACUUAA